rnacentral:misc_RNA from 1 species
UAUUGAGAAAUUCCCUCGAGUGUUUAUGGGCUCCAUCAUCAAACCUGGUCCUGCGACACAGAUGAUCACACAGCAGGUAAUUGCAAUAAAUCGUUGAAAAGUUCCCUCGACUAUCUUUCGUCUCCAUCAUCAGACUUUAAUGGCACUUGUAACUCAUAUAGGUGCAAAGUUCUCAUCAAUAGAAACGAAUUAAGUUCAAACAGCAGGUAAUUGCUAUAAAUUGUUGAAGAGUUCCCUCGACUAUCUGUCUUCUCCAUCAUCAGAUCGACUCCAGACCUUUAUUAAAU